rnacentral:rRNA from 1 species
GGCUCAGGAUGAACGCUGGCGGCGUGCUUAACACAUGCAAGUCGAACGAACCUUCGGGUUAGUGGCGGACGGGUGAGUAACGCGUGGGAAUCUGCCCUCAGGAGGGGGAUAACGGUUGGAAACGGCCGCUAAUACCCCAUAUGCCGAGAGGUGAAAUGAAUUUCGCCUGAGGAUGAGCCCGCGUCUGAUUAGCUAGUUGGUGAGGUAAUGGCUCACCAAGGCAUCGAUCAGUAGCUGGUCUGAGAGGAUGAUCAGCCACACUGGGACUGAGACACGGCCCAGACUCCUACGGGAGGCAGCAGUGGGGAAUUUUCCGCAAUGGGCGCAAGCCUGACGGAGCAACGCCGCGUGAGGGAUGAAGGCCUCUGGGCUGUAAACCUCUUUUCUCAAGGAAGAAGAUCUGACGGUACUUGAGGAAUAAGCCACGGCUAAUUCCGUGCCAGCAGCCGCGGUAAUACGGGAGUGGCAAGCGUUAUCCGGAAUUAUUGGGCGUAAAGCGUCCGCAGGCGGCUUUUCAAGUCUGCUGUUAAAGCGUGGAGCUUAACUCCAUCAAGGCAGUGGAAACUGAUUGGCUUGAGUGUGGUAGGGGCAGAGGGAAUUCCCGGUGUAGCGGUGAAAUGCGUAGAUAUCGGGAAGAACACCAGUGGCGAAGGCGCUCUGCUGGGCCAUAACUGACGCUCAUGGACGAAAGCCAGGGGAGCGAAAGGGAUUAGAUACCCCUGUAGUCCUGGCCGUAAACGAUGAACACUAGGUGUCGGGGGAAUCGACCCCCUCGGUGUCGUAGCCAACGCGUUAAGUGUUCCGCCUGGGGAGUACGCACGCAAGUGUGAAACUCAAAGGAAUUGACGGGGGCCCGCACAAGCGGUGGAGUAUGUGGUUUAAUUCGAUGCAACGCGAAGAACCUUACCAGGGUUUGACAUCCUGCGAACCUCUAAGAAAUUAGAGGGUGCCUUUGGGAACGCAGUGACAGGUGGUGCAUGGCUGUCGUCAGCUCGUGUCGUGAGAUGUUGGGUUAAGUCCCGCAACGAGCGCAACCCACGUUUUUAGUUGCCAGCAUUCAGUUGGGCACUCUAGAGAGACCGCCGGUGAUAAACCGGAGGAAGGUGUGGAUGACGUCAAGUCAUCAUGCCCCUUACAUCCUGGGCUACACACGUACUACAAUGCUACGGACAAAGGGCAGCGAACUCGCGAGGGCAAGCAAAUCCCAUAAACCGUGGCUCAGUUCAGAUCGUAGGCUGCAACUCGCCUACGUGAAGAAGGAAUCGCUAGUAAUCGCAGGUCAGCAUACUGCGGUGAAUACGUUCCCGGGCCUUGUACACACCGCCCGUCACACCAUGGAAGUUGGCCACGCCCGAAGUCGUUACUCCAACCCUUGUGGAGGAGGACGCCGAAGGUGGGGCUGAUGACUGGGGUGAAGUCGUAACAAGGUAGCCGUACCGGAAGGUGCGGCUGGAUCACCUCCUAA